rnacentral:rRNA from 1 species
AAUGAACGCUGGCGGCAGGCCUAACACAUGCAAGUCGAACGGCAGCACAGAGGAGCUUGCUCCUUGGGUGGCGAGUGGCGGACGGGUGAGGAAUACGUCGGAAUCUGCCUAUUUGUGGGGGAUAACGUAGGGAAACUUACGCUAAUACCGCAUACGACCUUAGGGUGAAAGCGGAGGACCUUCGGCGUUCGCGCAGAUAGAUGAGCCGACGUCGGAUUAG